rnacentral:rRNA from 1 species
UACAGAGGUCUCGAGCGUUAGGCGGAAUCACUGGGCUUAAAGCGUGUGUAGGCGGGUCGUUAAGUGCCUUGUGAAAUCCCAUGGCUCAACCAUGGAACUGCUGGGCAUACUGGCGAUCUUGUGCCACCUAGGGGCGAGCGGAACAGAUGGUGGAGCGGUGAAAUGCGUAGAUAUCAUCUGGAACGCCAAUGGUGAAAACAGCUCGCUGGGGGUGUGCAGACGCUGAGACACGAAAGCCAGGGGAGCGAACGGGG